GCCUGAGUGGUGAAAUUGGUAGACGCGCUAGACUCAAAAUCUAGUAUGGAGACAUAUGCCGGUUCGAGUCCGGCCUCAGGGUACCA
rnacentral:tRNA from 16 species